UUUAUUGUUUUACUUUUCUGCAGAUAAUCAAUCAACAAAAUUCCUUUUGCAAGAAAUAUUAAAUUUUCUUCAUUUAAAAAAAUACUCUGACACGCCAACUUUAAAUAGCUUGUAAACAAAGAAUUAAUUGACAGAAUGACUUGUAACUUUGCAUGUGUUGUCACGACAGAUGUUCCAACUUAAGUAAAAAAAUCGGAGCAAUGUAUGCUUUAAGUCAAGUUUGCCUUGCAAAGCCACUGUUUUGCCCUGUUGUUGUGUUGUAUUUUUGUGUUUUCAACAAUCCUGAUACAUCGGCCGAUAUUACGGUAGUUAGAUUUGGUGCUUGAUGUAUUCCAAAUAUUGUGUCUAGUUUGUGCUAGAGCUGGGCAUUCACAGGAAAUCAGUUUCCUUUUUCUCUUCUAGCUUGCAGCUGUGGCAAAUAUUGUUAUAGGACAGACCCAUUUUUAGCGCGUAUUCUCCAAACGACCAGUCCCAUUCCUGGAUCUAUAUAAUAAGUCCUUGGUUCUAGUCUUAUCAUACCUGGGUCAUACCUGCUUCGAUAUUUUGCAGUUAAUUAUUGAUUUCCAUCUGCACUGAGCUAUCUAUUCAAAUUAAUUAUUAAUUUCCAUCUGCACUGAGCUAUCUAUUCAAACUCUCUCCACCGGUUCAUAAAAUUUUACUUCAUGGUUUUGAAGCUACAAAGCAUUCCCUGGGUUCGAUUGGUGAACUUUCUGAAGAGCCUGCAGAGGCAAGGAUUAAAGAUAUAAAAAGAUUACGAUUACAACGUACCCGGAAAAUUUCACGCGUCGCAUCAAAUGCAACUUUAAUGAACUUAUUGCUGUUAUGCUCUGAUCCCUUUGUUACUGAGCACCGAAAACUUGCAUAUAACCAUAAAUCAACGAUACUAAAGUCAACUAUAGAUUUACUUGAUAAGAAAAUAUG